GUUCCAAGCAAGUUUCUUCAUCAACAUAACUUUUCUUAUAUAAGUAAGAAAAAAUUUUAUUAAUUGGAAAAGAGGAAAGGGGAGAUCGAGCAAAGGGUUAACUAACCCAGAAUCAAGUGCCCAGUCUCAAGUAUUCAACUCAAGAAAACAAACCUAUUAUAAAUGAAAACUUUACAUAAAAGAAAGAACAGCUGCAAGCAUAACAAAAAUUGAAAAGAACGUAUCAACAAUCCUAACCCUUCCCAAUUUUCUAAACAAAAAGCAGAGAAAUUAAAUCAAAA
rnacentral:misc_RNA from 1 species